rnacentral:tRNA from 1 species
ACCCUUGUGACGCAAUUGGCUAGCGCGUUCGGCUGUUAACCGAAAGGUUGGAGGUUCGAGCCCUCCCGAGAGCG